UACAGAGGCCACAAGCGUUAGUCGGAAUCACUGGGCUUAAAGGGUGCGUAGGUGGGCUUGUAAGCGUCCUGUGAAAUACCUCAGCUCAACUGAGGAACAGCAGGGCGAACUACAAGUCUUGAGGCAGGUAGGGGCUGGAAGAACAGUAGGUGGAGCGGUGAAAUGCGUAGAGAUCUACUGGAAUGCCGAUGGGGAAGCCAUCCAGCUGGGCCUGUCCUGACACUGAGGCACGAAAGCGUGGGGAGCAAACAGG
rnacentral:rRNA from 1 species